GGCUGAGCACCGGGCGGGGGCUGGCCCUGCCUCUGGUCUGGGAGCCAGAGAGGAGCCUGGGGCGGGGCGGGGGAGGGUCUCCCCUACAGCCCUGCCCAGGCGCUGCGGGGAUGUGGGCCUCGGGCUGCCUAGGCCCCCAGCUGCAAGCGGCUGCGUCCUCAGGUGGGGCUCUGAGUCCAUCAGCGGGGCCCAGGGGCCGGUUGGUUGGGAGCAGGUGCGCCUGGGCGGGGUGGGGGGCGAGGGGGGCCCUGAGCCUGCUGUAGGCCCCCGGGGGGCCUCGUCGUGGCCCCCACCACGUCCCCACCCUGCUUGGAUGUGACCCCGCGCAGGCCCCAGGGACCCACCCACACCCACGGGGCUGGUGUCUCCGUGGCCUCCGGCUCCCGUGACACGCUGGUUUGCCCCGUGGGGGCCCGGAGCAACGGGCUAGGCGAGGCUGGGCCACGAGCACAGCUCCCAGGCUCACGGCCGGCGCCCAGCCCUGCCUGCGGCUCUCCUCUCCCAGGGCGUGCGGGCGCCCACUGGGGCAGCGGCCGGCAGGCGCCCACGCAGGCAGAGGGGCUGUGCGUCUCCUGGGACACGUCUGUGGGCGGCUUCUCCCUGGUUUCUGCCUCCGCGAGCCGCACUGGGCCUGGGGCCUUCUUCAAGGUGGGGCCUGUCCAGCCGCUGCGGUGCUCCCCGCCCCUGGCCAGUAGCCAUGUCCCUGGCUGCCAGUGGCGGCUCUGACCAGGAGACCCAGGCAGGCGGCUCGGGGACCGGAGAUGGUGACAUCAGUCCUUCGGAGCUACCGCAACAUCAGCACUCAAUAAAUGUGACCCUGCGUGACGUGACGUUUCAUCAAGGUCUUGGCUGGGCAACUUGACCCCCCGCCUCCCCUCCCCCACACAGGGAGGCUGGCCCGGUCCUCCCAAAAGAGGACAGUUUGGGUGGCCCCUCCACAGACAGACGGGGGUCGGGCUCCCCGGGGGGCCUCCGCCCCACGGGCGUCUCUGGGGGCAUCGCUGCACGGCCUGGGUGGUUCCCAGCAGCUGCGGGCCCUGGAUCGGGGGCCCGGCCCGCGCGGCCCCAAGCUGACGGCAGAGGGCUCAGGAGAGGCGGCCAGGGAGCUGGACCCGUGCCCCGAGACCCGGCCGGCGCCCACACCUCUCGGAACCUGCCUCUUCCUCCCUGGGGCAGGAAACCAGAGGACAAAGCUGCCAGGGGCUUCUUGAAAGCAUCAGAGCGGCGCGGGCAAGCGCUUGGUGCAGGCCCCGUGAUAAGCGCGGACUGUUUACACUGUCGGUGUCAAUUUAAUUUUACAAGAGUUGAGGUAAUAGGACCCCCCCCUCACCAACCCCUCCCCAACCGGGCAGCAGACACCCACAAUCAUUUAUCUCUGACUCUCACCCUACACAGGUAAACGCCCCACCCCGGGGCUGCUGGCAAAGGCGUUUAAAAUGCACAGACUCUCCCUUCCUGUGCCUGUGCCAAGGGGGAGCUCUCUCCCGAGAAAGGGAACCCCCUUUCCUGCACCCGCAGGUGUUCCCCGGGCUUGUCCAGGCUCUGCUGCAGCUGCCAAGACAAGACACUGGUGGGGGGCAGGCCUCCCCUGCACCGCGGCCAGAAGCAGCCCGCUGGCCGAGGCCCGCGUGGCCCGAUGCCAGGAGACGAGGCCAGCGGCCUCCAGUGCCCCGUGAGUGUCCAGCAGCUACUGGCGCAGUGAUGACCCAGCCAGCCGUGUCUUUACUUCCUCGCCCCAGGGCAAGAGGGCCUGGAGGACAGCCGGACACUGGCCUACAAUUAAGGGACCAAGGAGCGAAGUGACCAGUCCAGGCAGGACAGCUGGGCCUGGCAGCCCAGGUCAGCUCCAGUGACACCCUGACACAGGUUGGCUCGGCGAAGAUGACCUCGAAGAACUCCGCCUCGGCCUUGGCCACCUGCUCCGCCAGGCUCAGGGCGGCCUCGUCCUCCCUCAGCUCGUCGC